rnacentral:lncRNA from 1 species
AAACUACUUCCUUUUAUCCUACAAAAACAGAUGCCAACAAUGACAACUUGUUAGAUUUAAAUGUGUUUUAUGAAUUUAUUUCACUUUAUCAUCACUUUCUUCGUCUGUUGAAACCUAUAAGAUUUUUUCUCAUUAAUGUUUGUUUUUCUAAAGGGACGUAACACCACUACUAACCGUGUAUGAAAUAAGCCCGCCUCCCAACUAACUUAUAUUAAAUAUACACGG